rnacentral:rRNA from 1 species
CCUACGGGAGGCAGCAGUGGGGAAUAUUGCGCAAUGGGCGAAAGCCUGACGCAGCGACGCCGCGUGAGGGAUGAAGGUCUUCGGAUCGUAAACCUCUGUCAGCAGGGAAGAACGGUCACUGUGCUAAUCAGCAGUGAAUUGACGGUACCUGCAAAGGAAGCACCGGCUAACUCCGUGCCAGCAGCCGCGGUAAUACGGAGGAUCCGAGCGUUAUCCGGAUUUAUUGGGUUUAAAGGGAGCGUAGGUGGAUUGUUAAGUCAGUUGUGAAAGUUUGCGGCUCAACCGUAAAAUUGCAGUUGAAACUGGCAGUCUUGAGUACAGUAGAGGUGGGCGGAAUUCGUGGUGUAGCGGUGAAAUGCUUAGAGAUCAUACAGAACACCGAUUGCGAAGGCAGCUUACCAAGCUACUUCUGACGUUGAGGCACGAAAGCGUGGGGAGCAAACAGGAUUAGAUACCCGGGUAGUC